rnacentral:lncRNA from 1 species
UUCAUAUAAACAUGCACCAAGGAACAAAGUUCUAUAAGAUUUCAGAGAUUACAAAAUAUCCAAUGCGAAUGUUGACUAUUUUUCAAAUAGUACAUUCCUUAGCUUCCAUGGGAAACCUAUUUGCUUACGGGGCAAAAUGUGAUGAUGCAUCAUCCCUUUUGAAAGUUGACUGUUCCAUAAACCUUCGCUUUCAUAAGCCUUCUUUUCUGUAGUAUUUGACAAAAAUAUUAGAACUUGUUGUCAAUAGCACAACCAAGGGAAGGAAUUUUGCAGUUAUCUAUCAAAAUGAUUUUGGAAUGAAAGAACCAAAUUACACAUUAAAUUACUAUGUAAAACAACACCUGAAAAAAUAAUAUAUUUCUCCUGUUAACCGCAUAACUAAUGCCAAUCACGUGAACACCUAAUUUUUGCCUCACAUGGAAUUUACUCCUAAAAAUAGUCCAAAAAUAAUUUAAUGAUUUUUAUGAAUUUUAGGAGUUUUUCUUAAUUUGGUUUUGCAUUUAUUCGCAUUGUUUGUGCAUGCUAGGAAUAUCGUAAAUCAGAAAAAUCAUAAAAAAAAAAAUGUUCAAAUCUUAAUUUCAUAGUCUUUUAGAUUUUAAAUUAUAUUUUAGGAUUUAAUUAUAUUAUUAAAUGCAUUUAAAUAACUAAAAAAAUACAUUCUUAGGUUAGUUAAUUAAUUAGAUUAUUAGUCAAUCAUUAGAUAAAAUAGAUAAUUAAUUUGGCCAUAACAAUUGAAUUAAACUAAAGUGGCCAACAUUGCAAAAUACAAAGAAAGAAGAAAAGGGGUUGUACAAAACUAGGCCAAUUUCCAAACGGCCCAGUAAACCUCCACAAGCCACGGCCAUUCCCCUGACCUGGCCCAAUUUCCCUUUCCCCCUCAUUAAAAUACUCCCUCCCCUAAUCCCUAAAGAGAACAGACUCUCUCCCCCCUCCCCCCCCCUCCCCCCCCCACAAUUUUACCUAACCCUAGCAGCUCCUUCCUCUCUCCAAACAGACCCCUUCCCCCAUGAAAAAUCCUAGCCGCCGCCCUGUUCUUUCUUUUCUCUCUAUCACACAAGCUCCUUCUCACCUCACUAUCAUCUGGAUACACACGCGAUUCACCAUCGGCAUGUUACGAAUAUGGAAUUUCGGAGGAAGAAGUAAGAAGAGAAGAAAACAAUGCAAAUAAGAUAAAGGUUUUUCAUUCAUAACCUCAAAAUGAGCAGCUAGGUCAAUACAUAUACCCUCCCAUCUUCAGAACACGUAAAUGAGGAGGAGGACCGAAAGUGCAAAAAUAGAAACUUCAACAUAUUAAAUCUGUAAUUAACUAAACUCUUAUUUAAGGAACUCUUGGGGUCUAUAUGUCAAUUCCCAAAAUCUGCAACCACUUAGCAGCCCAUUCUAAUUAACGUAUGAGUACCACUCCCCAAGCCUUCUGUACAAGUCUCGACAACUACUCUAUUUCUGAAUCGUAUCACGGCAAUUCUCACAAACACACACGAGAUAGUGAAGAACAAAUUUCGAAAUUCAGAAAGCAAAAAUCAGAUCAAAAAAUAAAAAACAAAACAGAAUUGAAAACUGAUUUGGAUUCUAUUCUCCUGCAUUGUAUCUGCUGGGAUUUUGGAAGGAUAACUGAGCUCAAGUGUCGCUGUUUCAUUGCUGGCUUGAGCUGUUCAUCUUUGCUGGGCUUUACUUCUUUCUUUCGCUGCCUUUAUUUGGCUGCUGCAAUUCUCUUCUAACAUUAGAUACAUAUUCGUCAACUCAUUUAUUAAUUAAAGAGAACUUGAACUUCUAUAUAUUUCCUCUUUUCAGUGAUAAUAAACUGUUAAAUCUUAUUAGAAACUUGACUUCGUGUGCCAAUUCAAUAUUUUCUAAAUUAAGUAUUCCUCUUGUACCUAGCUUCGAUGAAUAAUAAAAUCAAUUUUACUAAAGUGUGCAGAUCUCACUGUUUAUGAUCUGUUAUGCUUCUAAAUUUGUCACAAAUUGGUUGAAGAAUCUGAUUUGGUCUCCUCGAUUUGCUUAACACGACAAUCGAAUGAAACCUGCAAUGAUAGCGUUGUGAUUAUGAACUGCUAAUGGGCCUGAGGAAAUUACAAAUUUGGUGAAAUGUUAGUAAUUAUUUGGAAUGAUCAUGUUAUUUGAAAAUAUGUAAUUAGUAUAAAAACAGCACCCAAAAAUGUAUAUGUAUUCCAUUUGAGAUUUUAAAUGCAUGAAUUAAUUGUUGAUUGUAUUAAGGCUAGCAUCAUGUCAAUUUGUUGAUUGUUGCGAUCCGGUCUUAAACAAAACUCUCUCUUAAGUCCCAUUUCGCGCACAAUGAUUGCAAGAUUAGACUUCACCGUUCUUAUUCUAAGUACUAAUUUGAAUGUGCAACCAGUAAUGACAUAAUUUGGAUUGGAUUGCCUUCCCUUGUACUUAAUUAGUUUUGGUAGUGCCUCAUUGAGGUGAAAUUCUUCUGAACCUUAGCUCUUAAUAAUCCUCGAAGUCUCUUUGAUGGAACACAAAACUUUAUAAUCCCUCGUCAAAUCAAAUAACGUAAAUGCAUCUCUUUCCAGCAAAUGAAUCCCAUAUAGCUACGACUUUACAACCAUAUCAUGUGGCCUCAACAAUUAUUGAACAUAUGUUAGUUUGCUUUAGGCACGCUAAUUAAUUAAAUUAUCGUGAUUAUGUAUACGUUUGCGUGAUAUAAUUAUGAUUCCCAAAAUAAAUCAAGAUACGCGUUCGCUAGUUCCAUACUUAGUUCUUUCGCCGCUAGUUCUAGUGACAUGACAUGCAUGCGGAAUUUUUGUCCAGAUCUUAGAAAAUGGAUUUAAGCUUGAAUUGGAUAACUGAGAAAAAUACACUUUUGAGGAUGAAAAAGAGUUGAAAUAUCUUGGAAUUAAUCCCGAGUAAAAUUCAAGUGGAACUGAAAUAGUCAUACCCGUCGUGGAGGGUAAGGAAAUUUACCUUCAAAAUCAUUGUGAAGCUCAUAUUUGAGAAUGUUGAAUCAAUUGAAAUUGGUGGAAAGUUUGACAUCAAUGGAUGGGAAGUGUCUUUCGACCAUGACACACUAAGAAGACAGGCAUGCUUAUCAAUGCUGUGAUCACGAAAGGAUACUAUGAUUGACGUUCUCGAGGCUGGGAGGCCUUUUUCAGUUAUCUAAAUACUUUAUACCCUUCGUUACCCCUUUUGAGUUUGUGUUAUUUUCUUUGACCACCCCCCUCUUGGAAUCAAGUUUAGAGUUAAAAGUAAAAAUAAAAUGAAAAAAAGAGGUCCAUGCCCCAAGAGUACACACUGGGGCAAUUCUUAAAGUUCAAGUAAAAAAAGAAGAAGAAGAAGAAACAGUCAAAGGUCCAUUCCCCCAGAAAAUAAAGGCUAAGGCAACUUGCUUUGAAAACAAAAGAAAAAAAAAAGAAAGGAAAAAAAAGAAAAAAAAUGAAACAGAAAUAAAGAUGAAAAAACAAUAGUUAGGUCAGAAGCAUGAACUACGUUUGACCUGAUUCUUUUAAAAAAGGAUACGUAGGCAGCCUUACACGGUUCGGUCCAACCAAAUAAAAAUUCAAAAAAAAGAACAAAAAUUCCCAGUAUCUCAAAUUGGGACAAAGAUUUUGUUUCACUUUUGAAAGAGUCGAUUCCAAGAGUUGUAAGUCUACAACCCCCUCAUUUGGAGCUUACUCAAAGCCUUCAUGCCGUCCUUUCUUUCCAACCUUAUCCAAAAACCUUCCAAACAAAGACCUCAUGAUAUUCCUUCAAGAAUUCCAAGAGAAGCAUGCAAUGAGCAACUCCAAACAAAGACCUCAUGAUAGUUCUUGUUGAUUUAUUUUCUGUACUCUUAUGUUAUUGUUGUCGUUAUUCGUAUUCGUAGUUAUUGAGCCGUGGGUUAUAUAUGGUUGUGGUAUUGGUAUUGUGGUUUUGGCAAUGUUUUGGUAUAUGAGACCGUGUGGUGCGAGUUUUUGUGUUGUAUUGUUGUGUUUAGGCACAUGUGGGCCCGUUAAGAGUAUGUUAUGUUUGCGUUAUUCGUAUUCGUUGUUGUUGAGCAGUGGGCUAUAUAUAUGUAUGGUAUUGGUAUUGUGUUUUUGGAAAUGUUUUGGUAGAUGGGACCGUGGUGCGGGUUUUUAUGUUGUAUUAUUGUGUUUUGGCAUUUGUGGUCCCGUUGAGAGGAUUGUCGGGAUGUUAUUGUUGUCGUUAUUAGUAUUCGCAGUUGUUGAGCUGUGGGUUAUAUAUGGUUGUGGUAUUGGUAUUGCGGUUUGGGCAAUGUUUUGGUAUAUGAGACCGUGUGGUGCGAGUUUUUAUGUUGUAUUGUUUUGUUUGGCACAUGUGGGCCCGUUAAGAGUAUUGUCGGGAUGUUUACACGAGAUUUCUUCCGUGCUACUUUUAUUAUUGAUAUUGCACAUGUGGCGAAACAAGGCAGGCUAUAUACAUAUGUUGGGUUUGUGCAUGUGGCAAGACAAGGUGGGAUAAUUAUUAAUGCACGUGUGGCGAGAUAAGGCCGGCAUUUACUAUAUUUUUUCACAGGCGACGAGACAAAGGGGUGAUGGUCUGGGGGCAUAGUAUUGGUGAUAUCCAUUUGGUGGUACGACUUCCUUGUGUGUGUCAUGCAUAUUACAUAAUUUGUUAUGUUAUUUUCAAUGUGCUACUCGGUGUCUCUAUUUAUGACUUGUUGACUUGAGUAUGAUAGUACAAUUGCACAUGCAUACACCGUAACAUGCCAUUUAUACCAGUCCUGGAGUAUGAUACUUGAUGACCAUUGGCCAUUUACAUGCAUUCUUGUAUCCGAGGUGCGGGCCUUGGAUUGACAUUUUAGUUUUCAUUAAAGAUCGAAACUUUAUUAUGCGAAAUUAUUUUCUAUGGCUUUUAUUUAUGAUAUUAAGUUAUUUUGGCUAGAUUCGGACCGUUCAGAGGUUGUUUCAUACAAGAAGGACUUCUUAAAGUAUUGAUUUAGCUUCUUUGAGAUAAGUAUAUUGCCUAAUUUUGUGUGGAAAAAAUUACCCCGUAAGAUUUGAGUUAAUUUCACUAUUUGAAUUAUGUGAAAGUCGUGUACUUGAGAUGACAAGUGUGUACACAUGCAUAUAUAUUGAAAUUGACUUGUUUAAGCUUGUAGGUCACUCAUAUGAAAUUAAUUGAAGUUGUUAUUGCAUGGUAUAUCUAUUAUUGUUGAGGUUAAUUGUCCGUUUCAAUGUGUUAUUGCACUUCUUGUUGAUUUAUUUUCUGUACUCUUGUGUUAUUGUUGGUGUUAUUCAUAUUCGUUGUUGUUGAGCAGUGGGCUAUAUAUAGGUAUGGUAUUGGUAUUGUGGUUUUGGACAUGUUUUGGUAGAUGGGACCGUGGUGCGGGUUUUUAUGUUGUAUUGUUGUGUUUUGGCACUUGUGGUCCCGUUCAGAGCAUUGUCGAGAUGUUUGCACGUUAUUUCUUCCGUGCUAUUUUUAUUAUUGAUAUUGCACAUGUGGCGAGACAAGGCGGGCUAUAUACAUAUGUUGGGUUUGUGCAUGUUGCAAGACAUGGUGUGAUAAUUAUUAAUGCGCGUGUGGCGAGACAAGGCCGGCAUUUACUAUAUUAUUUCGCAGGCGACGAGACAAGGGGGGUGAUGGUCUGGGGGCAUAUUAUUGGUGAUAUCCAUUUGGUGGUGCGACUUCCUUGUGUGUGUCAUGCAUAUUACAUGAUUUGUUAUGCUAUUUUCAAUGUGCUACUCGGUGUCUCUAUUCUUGACUUGUUGACUUGAGCUAUGAUAAUACACUUGCAAAUGCAUACACUGUAACAUACCAUUUGUACCAGUCCAGGAGUAUGAUACUUCAUGACUAUUGGCCAUGUACAUGCAUUCUUGUCCGAGGUGCGGGCCCUGGAUUGACAUUUUAGUUCUCAUUAAAGAUCGAAACUUUAUUAUCCGAAACUAUUUUCCAUGGCUUUUAUUUAUGAUAUUAAGUUAUUGUGGCUAGAUUCGGACCGUUCGGAGGUUGUUUCACAUGGGAAGGGCUUCUUAGAGUAUUGGUUUAGCUUCAUUGAGAUAAGUAUCAUGCCUAACAUUGUGUGGACAAAACUAACCCAUAGGAUUUGAGUUAAUUUCACUAUUUGAAUUAUGUGAAAGGCGUGUACUUGAGGUGACAAGUGUGUACACAGGCUUAUAUAUAGAAAUUGACUUAUUUAGGCUUGUAGGUCACUCAUAUGAAAUUAAUUAAGGUUGUUGUUUCAUGUUAUAUCUUUCAUUGUUGAGGUUAAUUGUCCAUUUCAAUGUGUUAUUGCAGUUGUUGUGGAUUUAUUUUCUGUACUCUUGUGUUAUUGUUGUCGUUAUUCGUAUACGUUGUUGUUGAGCCGUCGGCUAUAUAUGGUUGUGGUAUUGGUAUUGUGAUUUCGGCAAUGUUUUGGUAUAUGGGACCGUGUGGUGCGAGCUUUUAUGUUGUAUUGUUGUGUUUUGGCAAAUGGGUGCCCGUUGAGAGGAUUGUCGGGAUGUUUGCACGGGAUUUCUUCUGUGCUACUUUUAUUAUUGAUAUUGCACAUGUGGCGAGACAAGACGGGCUUUAUACAUAUGUUGGGUUUGUGCAUGUGGCAAGACAAGUUGGGAUAAUUAUUAAUGUGCGUGUGGAGAGAGAAGACCAGCAUUUACUAUAUUAUUUCGCACGCGACGAGCCAAGGGAGUGAUGGUCUGGGGGCAUAUUAUUGGUGAUAUCCAUUUGAUGGUGCGACUUCCUUGUGUGUGUCAUGCAUAUUACAUGAUUUGUUAUGUUAUUUUCAAUGUGCUACUCGCUGUCUAUAUUUUUGACUUGUUGACUUGAGCUAUGAUAGUACACUUGCACAUGCAUACCCCGUAACAUGCCAUUUAUACCAGUCCAGGAGUAUGAUACUUGAUGACCAUUAGCGAUGUACAUGCAUUCUUGUAUCCGAGGUGCGGGCCCUAGGUUGACAUUUUAGUUUUCAUUAAAUAUCGAAACUUUAUUAUCCGAAAUUAUUUUCUAUGACUUUUAUUUAUGAUAUUAAGUUAUUUUGGCUAGAUUUGGACCGUUCGGAGGCUGUUUCACAUGGGAAGGGCUUCUUAAAGUAUUGAUUUAGCUUCUUUGAGGUAAGUAUGUUGCCUAACUUUGUGUGGGAAAAACUACCCCAUAGGAUUUGAGUUAAUUUCAGUAUUUAAAUUAUGUGAAAGACGUGUACUUGAGGUGACAAGUGUGUACACAGGCUUAUAUAUAGAAAUUAACCCGUUUAGGCUUGUAGGUCACUCUUAUGAAAUUAAUUGAAGUUGUUAUUGCAUGUUAUAUCUUUCAUUGUUGAGGUUAAGUGUCCAUUUCAAUGUGUCAUUGGAGUUCUUGUUGAUUUAUUUUCUGUACUAUUGUGUUAUGGUUGUCGUUAUUGUGACGACCCGGUCGGUCGUCUUAAGAGUUAUGGCCCCGAUCCCCUAUUAACUGUUUUCCCUGUAUCCUUUUCUGCUAUUGUGACUUGUUGGGAGGUUUCAUUUUGGUUUUUGGAGUGUUUUGGGACACUUAGUCCCUAAAUGGAGUCUUAAGUCUUAUGAUUUGGACCGUAGUCAGAACUGUGUGAAGACGACUCUGGAAUGGUGUUCCGUCAGUCUCGUUAGCUCCGCUAAGUGAUUUUUGACUUAGAGGCUUGUCCAGAUAGUGUUUUGGAGGUUUGUAGCUCAUUUAGGUUUGAAAUGGCGAAAGUCGAAGUUUUGGAGAUUUGGACCGGUAGUGGAAUUUUGAUACCGGGGUCGGAUUCAGAUUUUGGAAGUUGGAAUAGGUCUGUAGGGUUGAAUAUAACCCGUGUGCAAAAUUUGGGGUCAAUCGGACGUGGUUUGGUUGGUUUCGGCAUCNNNNNNNNNNNNNNNNNNNNNNNNNNNNNNNNNNNNNNNNNNNNNNNNNNNGGGGGCCUCGGGUUGAUUUCGGAUGGUUAACGGAUUAUUUUGGACUAGUGGAAAAUAGCAGAUUUUCUGGUGUUUUGUUGCAGACUUUUUCUUCAUCGAGUUCGCAAGAGAGGUCUCGCGAUCGUGUAAGGCAUCUGAGAGGCCAGCUGAAGUUGUUCUUCGCUUUCGCGAAUAUGAGGACGUGAUCGCGUAGGUUGGUCAGGUUGUGCAUCGCGAACGCGUGGGCUAGUCCGCAUUCGCGAAGAGGAAGUAAAGCAGCAGUGGAAUUCAAGUGUUGUUCUUCGCGAACGCGUGGGAUUGUUCACGAUCGCGUAAGUAUGAGAGCUAGAGAAUCGCAUUCGUGUUGAGUUUUCCGCGUUCAUGUAGGGUUAAAUUCUGGGGCAGCGAAGUUGUGCUUCGCGAUCGCGAGGCUAUUUCCGCGAUCGCGAUUAAGGAAUUACUGGGCAGUAUUAAACAUUUCAAAAAUGAGGGUUUGGCCAUUUUUAUCAAAACUUGAGUUUGGGAGAUCGGAUUUGGACGAGAGGUUGGGAUUUUUAGAGACAUCGAUUGGGUAAUGAUUCUACACUCUAUUUUGGUUAUAUUCCACUAAUCUAUCAUUAAUUCAUCUUUAAUUUCGGAUUCUGGGGUUGAAAUUUGGGAAAAUUGGAAGAAGUUCUUCAACUAAGAUUUCGAGUUUUGAAAGGGGAUUCGUGAUCGGAUUUGAGUAAUUUUUAUAUGGUUGGGCUCGUGAGUGAAUGGGUGUUCAUAUUUUGUGACUUUUACCCGAUUUCGAGAUGUGGGCCUGGGGAGGCUUUUUGGGGUGAUUUCCUAAUUUCUCGCUUUAGCUUAGAUUUCAUUGACUAGAUUAGUUUCUUAUAACUAUAUUUAUGGUAUGUAAUUGAUUUUGGCAAGAUUUGGGUCAUUCAGAGUCGGAUAUUCGUGGGAAGAGCAUUGCUAUCGACUGAUUUAGCUUGGUUCGAGGUAAGUGGCUUGCCUAACCUUAUUUGGGGGAAAUCCCCUUAGGAUUUGGUACUGAUUUUACUAUGUGAUUGUCGUGUACGCGAGGUGACGAGUGCGUACACAGGCUAUUUGUUGAAAAACCUGAUUUUUAUUGAGAAAUUCCCUGUUUACACCUUAAUUGAAUAUACUAGCAUGCGUAGUUACCCUGUUAGCUUAGAAUAACAUGUCUAUGUGCCUUAUUUGCUUAAUCGAACUCUUUGCAGCAUGCUUAUUGAAUUCCUGCUUCUUUCCCGACUUGUACUUAGUCUAGACUGUAGAUUCUCUUGUUGUACUUGUCGUUUGUAAUUGAUUGCGCUGUGUAUUUACUUUGUGACUAUGGGACAGUAUCCCGAGAGAUCCCCCUGUAUAUUUACUUUUGGGACUACGGGACGUUAUCCCGGGAGAUCCCCCUGCAUAUUUACUAUUGGGACUACGGGACGGUAAUCUGAGAGAUCCCCUUACACAUUUACUUUGAGACUACGAGGCGGUACAUCGGGAGUUUUCCCUGCAUAUUUACUUUUGGGACUACAAGACGGUAUCUCGGGAGAUCCCUGUCACUUAAUUCCAUGCACUGUUAUGUUAACACACUGUGUUUUCCUUUGUUGAACUUUAGUCUCUUAUUAUACUGCUUAUUCUCCUGUUUUAAUUAUUUUAUACCAGUGGGCUUGACCUAACCUCAUCACUACUCGACCGAGGUUAGGCUCGACACUUACUGGGUACCGCUAUGGUGUAAUCAUGCCCUUUCCUGCACAUGUUUUUUGUGUGCAGAUCCAGGUUCCUUUUACCAGCCUCGUCCUUAGUUGCAGUUGUUGCUGUUUCAGAGAAGUUCAAGAUACAUCUGCCCGCGCCCGCAGAUCCUCGGAGUCCCCCUCUAUCCCCCUAUAUUGAUUCUUCACUUAUUUCUAUAGACACUGAUGUAGAGAACAGUUAGAACUUCGUAGAAGCUUGUGACUCACGGUGUUCCGAGUCUUGGGAGUGUCAUGUAUAUUUUGAGAGUUGAUUAUUGCAUAUGCCGAGCGGUGUCUCAAUUGCUUAUUAAAAUAUUUGUUACUGUUAGUUGUUAUUUUUCAUAUUUUUUAUUUUAUUUCCGCAAGUGUUAGGCUUACCUAGUCGUAAAGACUAGGUGCCGUCACGACGAUUCAUAGAGGGAGAAUUUGGGUCGUGACAGUUAUUCAUAUUCGUUGUUGUUGUGCCGUGGGCUAUAUAUGGGUGUGGUAUUGGUAUUGUGGUUUUGGCAAUAUUUUGGCAAAUGGGACCAUGUGGUGCGGGUUUUUAUGUUGUAUUGUUGUGUUUUGGCACUUGUGGGCCCGUUGAGAGGAUUGUCGGGAUGUUUGCACGGGAUUUCUUCCGUGCUACUUUUAUUAUUGAUAUUGCACAUUUGGCGAGACAAUGCAGGCUAUAUACAUAUGUUGGGUUUGUGCAUAUGGCAAGACAAAGUAGGAUAAUUGUUAAUGCACAUGUGACGAGACAAGGCCGACAUUUACUAUAUUAUUUCGCACACGACGAGACAAGAGAGGUGAUGGUCUGGGGGAAUAUUAUUGGUGAUAUCCAUUUGGUGGUGCGACUUCCUUGUAUGUGUCAUGCAUAUUACAUGAUUUGUUAUGUUAUUUUAAAUGUGCUACUCGGUGUCUCUAUUUUUGACUUGUUGACUUGAGGUAUGAUAGUACACUUGCACAUGCAUACACCAUAACAUGACAUUUAUACUAAUCCAGGAGUAUGAUACUUGAUGACCAUUGGCCAUGUACAUGCAUUCUUGUAUCCGAGGUGCGAGCCCUGGAUUGACAUUUUAGUUUUCAUUAAAGAUCGAAACUUUAUUACCCGAAACUAUUUUCUAUGGCUUUUAUUUAUGAUAUUAAGUUAUUGUGGCUAGAUUCGGACCGUUUGGAGGUUGUUUCACACAGGAAGGACUUCUUAGAGUAUUAAUUUAGCUUCUCUGAGGUAUGUAUCUUGCCAAACUUUGUGUGGGCAAAACUAACCCAUAGGAUUUGAGUUAAUUUCACUAUUUGAAUUAUGUGAAAGGCGUGUACUCGGGGUGAUAAGUGUGUACACGAGCUUAUAUAUAGAAAUUGACCUGUUUCGGCUUGUAGGUCACUCAUAUGAAAUUAAUUGAAGUUGUUGUUGCAUGUUAUAUCUUUCAUUGUUGAGGUUAAUUGUCCGUUUCAAUGUGUUAUUGCAGUUCCUGUUGAUUUAUUUUCUGUACUCUUGUGUUAUUGUUGUCGAUAUUCAUAUUCAUUGUUGUUGAGCCGUGGGCUAUAUAUGGUUGUGGUAUUGGUAUUGUGGUUUUGGCAAUGUUUUGGCAUAAGGGACCGUGUGGUGCGAGUUCUUAUGUUGUAUUGUUGUGUUUUGGCGCAUGUGGGCCCGUUGAGAGGAUUGUCGGGAUGUUUGCACGGGAUUACUUCCGUUCUACUUUUAUUAUUGAUAUUGCACAUAUGGCGAGAUAAGGCAGGCUAUAUACAUAUGUUGGGUUUGUGCAUGUGGCAAGACAAGGUGGGAUACUUGUUAAUGCGCGUGUGGCGAGACAAGGCCGACAUUUACUAUAUUAUUUCGCAUACGACGAGACAAGAGGGUGAUGGUCUCGGGACAUAUUAUUGGUGAUAUCCAUCUGGUGGGGAAACUUCCUUGUGUGUGUCAUGCAUAUUACAUGAUUUGUUAUGUUAUUUUCAAUGUGCUAAUAAGUGUCUCUAUUUUUGACUUGUUGACUUGAGCUAUGAUAUUAUACUUCCACACGCAUACACGCGUAACAUGCUAUUUAUAUCAGUCCAGGAGUAUGAUACUUGAUGACCAUUGGCUAUAUAUAUAUAUGCAUUCUUGUAUCCGAGGUGCGGGCCCUGGAUUGACAUUUUAGUUUUCAUUAAAGAUCGAAACUUUAUUAUCCGAAAUUAUUUUCUAUAGAUUUCAUUUAUGAUAUUAGGUUAUUUUGGCUAUAUUCAGACUGUUCGGAGGUUUUUCAUACGGGAAGGGCUUCUUAGGGUAUUGAUUUAGCUUCUUUGAGGUAAGUAUCUUGCCUAACUUUGUGUGGGAAAAACUACCCCGUAGAAUUUGAGUUAAUUUCACUAUUGGAUUUAUGUGAAAGGCGUGUACUUAAGGUGACAAGUAUGUAUACUGGCUUAUAUAUAAAAAAUGACAUGUUUAGGCUUGUAGGUCACUCAUAUGAAAUUGAUUGAAGUUGUUGUUGCAUGUUAUAUCUUUUAUUGUUGGGGUUAAUUGUCCGUUUCAGUGUGGUAUUGCAGUUCUUGUUGAUUUAUUAUAUGUACUCUUGUGUUAUUGUUGUCAUUAUUCAUAUUUGUUGUUGUUGAGACAUGGGCUAUAUAUGGUUAUGGUAUUAGUAUUGUGGUUUUGGCAAUGUUUUGGUAUAUGGGACCGUGUGGUGCGAGUUUUUAUGUAUCCAAAAUUGUUUGACCAGAUCCGGUAUGGGUCUCACACCUACACCCAUACUAGUGUCGUGUCGACACGGGUGCGGCACCUAAACUGCCAUGUCAGAGCAACUUAGAUUGGGAUAGAUAGUGUUUUGGAAAAAAAGAGAAGACCGCCAUUAAACUUGAUCAUGGGAGCUCAUACCUCUUCAUGAACAAUUCUUGUAAGGGAUUUUUAUCUGUAGUGCAGGUUAUAACUCCAAAAUCAGGUGUUUUAGGGCCACCUACAUCGAAUAUCAACAUCAGUUGAAAUAUUUCAUCAAACACAAUAAGAGCUAAAAUCCAAUAAAUGCAAAUUCAAUUGAGCGGUUAAUUCUGAGUUAGACUACUUGAACAUCAAUCGCCUAAUACUUGGACGGUAUUUUUGUGACUCGGUUAAGUCUUUAAAUCUAGAAAUAUUUGCCUUAUGCUAGAACACCAGUAAGUCGAAAGAAAACAAAAAAGAAUUACAGAAGAUUGGGGGGCUUCUCUUUAUAGAGGCUCUAUGUAUUCUCAUUGAGUUCUCCUAACUACCAAGGAUUGACAUGAAAUAGUUAAAUGAGCAAAGGCAUGUGAAUAAACAAAAAAUAGAUAACAUAAAAAGUAAAAGAUAAAAUGGAAAUAAAGCAGAAGAUUGAAAAGAACAAAUUGAACGAAAAGGAAGAGAAAGAAGAACUCACAUGAUAGAGAGAAAAUGAACAACAGAGAUGAGCGGAAAGAGAAGCUAGAGAGAGAGAAUGAAAAUGAGCCCUAAAAGUUUC